rnacentral:rRNA from 1 species
AUCGAACGCUGGCGGCAGGCCUAACACAUGCAAGUCGAACGGUAACAGGAAGCAGCUUGCUGCUUUGCUGACGAGUGGCGGACGGGUGAGUAAUGUCUGGGAAACUGCCUGAUGGAGGGGGAUAACUACUGGAAACGGUAGCUAAUACCGCAUAACGUCGCAAGACCAAAGAGGGGGACCUUCGGGCCUCUUGCCAUCGGAUGUGCCCAGAUGGGAUUAGCUUGUUGGUGGGGUAACGGCUCACCAAGGCGACGAUCCCUAGCUGGUCUGAGAGGAUGACCAGCCACACUGGAACUGAGACACGGUCCAGACUCCUACGGGAGGCAGCAGUGGGGAAUAUUGCACAAUGGGCGCAAGCCUGAUGCAGCCAUGCCGCGUGUAUGGAGAAGGCCUUCGGGUUGUAAAGUACUUUCAGCGGGGAGGAAGGGAGUAAAGUUAAUACCUUUACUCAUUGACGUUACCCGCAGAAGAAGCACCGGCUAACUCCGUG